GACGAACGCUGGCGGCGUGCUUAACACAUGCAAGUCGAACGGAAAGGCCCUGCUUGCAGGGUACUCGAGUGGCGAACGGGUGAGUAACACGUGGGUGAUCUGCCCUGCACUUCGGGAUAAGCCUGGGAAACUGGGUCUAAUACCGGAUAGGAGCCAUUUUUAGUGUGAUGGUUGGAAAGUUUUUUCGGUGUAGGAUGAGCUCGCGGCCUAUCAGCUUGUUGGUGGGGUAAUGGCCUGCCAAGGCGGCGACGGGUAGCCGGCCUGAGAGGGUGGACGGCCACAUUGGGACUGAGAUACGGCCCAGACUCCUACGGGAGGCAGCAGGGGGGAAGAUUGCACAAUGGGCGCAAGCCUGAUGCAGCGACGCCGCGUGGGGGAUGACGGCCUUCGGGUUGUAAACUCCUUUCGCUAGGGACGAAGCUUUUUGUGACGGUACCUAGAGAAGAAGCACCGGCUAACUACGUG
rnacentral:rRNA from 1 species